rnacentral:lncRNA from 1 species
UUAAAAAUUACAAAAUCACUUCCUUUGGGAAAAGUCGGAUUUCAUUUUCAGCUGACAAUUUCAACAACCAUUGCAAUAUUGCAUAGUGCCUUCACCUCCGGCUUUCACAGUACUAACACUCCCUAGUCCCAAGUCCCAAGUCCCAAAUCCCAAAUCGAAGCUGCUCUCUGCCUCUCCGGCCUCCGCCAGUCCGCCGCACUCUACGUCUCCUAUCGGCUGUCUCCAUCUCAAUCCUCAUUCGACCUCAUUUCUCACUUCAUCAGUUCAUCACUGCCGUGCUGGUUUAUCGCUGCCGAGUGUCGAAGACGAAGCACCAAUCACUGCUCAUCUCUGGCUCGCUUAGGUAAGUGCUCCUCUCUGGCAGUAAAAUGGCCAAGAUCGACGAAAUCUGAGCUUCCAAUUGCAAACUCUAACUGUUGUAGUAGUUUAGAUUAGAUGGGAAGUUUUAGCAGCCAAAAAUUGGUAAUCUUACUAGUGGUUAAAGAGAGAAGAGCAUUGAUAUUUGGUCACUUAAAAGUGCAGAGUUAUUCUUAACUUGGAUGCCUUCCUUUGCAAUGGAAAUAUAUAUUCCUUGCUUGGCAUCUUCACUUUAAGUUUCUGGCUUGGGAUUUUCCCUUUAACUUUCUUGUUGGGGCCUUCAUCUUUAUUCCAUUAAGGGCUGACAAUUAUAUUUGCUGUUUACUUAACAUAUAUUUCAUUCGUUAAUCCUUGAAAGAUGAACUUAAUUUGUUAAAGAGAGAAUACUGGAUUGAUUACAGAUGAAUUCGGGAAAAGCAGCGUUGCAAACUUAAUUUGCUUCAGGGUAUUUUUUUUAUUUUAAAUAAUAGAUGAAUUCGGUCUAACCGAAUUCAUUACCGUUUUAGAAUUUGAAAUCGGUUACCGAAUGAAUUCGGUUAUCCCCAAUUCGAAAUUGAAAACGGUUUAGAUUUCUAUAGGUGCAAUAACCGAAUUCAUCGAAUUCAGUGCACCGAAUUGCCGCAUUUGCACCGAAUGCUCACCCCUGUCUCCAGGACAAUCUUUUUGGUUAGGUAUAGAUUAGAAACUCCCUUACUUUAAUUCUUUCUCCAUCGUGUUAUUCUAUUAGAAAAUAAAAAGAUAAGGAGGGAAGAGACAUAUUGGAUAGGGGUGCAAAUGAGUAUAAUCAAAUCGAGCACUCUAUUGUUUAAACUUGUUUGACUAUUUUAACGGGUUUGAAAUUUUGUUCAAACUUGACUUGUUUAUUUGCUAAAUCGAACUUGAACUAGAGUUUAAAUGUUAUCGAAUAUAAAAUGCUGUUCAAUUUUAGCUUGACUUGUUAGUGACCUAAUCUCGGACGAACUCUUACAAAGCUAAACUCGAUUUAAGUAUCAAGUAGUUUGGUUCAUCUUUUAAUCCUAAUAUUGGAUUCAAUUUCCGCUUGAUGACAUUGGUUAGUAGCAAUUCUAUUAAUAUUUCGCUGCUUAGUACAUGCAUAUGUACAUUUUGUAUAACAAAAUUCCCAUUCAACACAUCAUCUAUUAGCUUCUAAUUAGAAAAACCAUUGUUAUUUUCAUUCGAGAGAAAAACAUUAAAAAAUAUCAUUUGUUAAAUAAUCACAAACAAGAAAAAAAUUGUCAUCAUUAAAAGGUUUUUCAAUUUAGUAGCAUACAACCAACAAUCUUUAUCUAUAUUUCAUACAACACCAACACCUAUUUUCUAUGACAAUAAAAGUAACAAUUAGGAUAAAAAAAAAAGAAAAAACACUAUUUUUUUUUUUAAAACAUCCAUUUUUAUUCACUAGAAAGUGCAG